rnacentral:rRNA from 1 species
AUUGAACGCUGGCGGCAUGCCUUACACAUGCAAGUCGAACGGUAACAGGUUAAGCUGCCGCGUGGCGAACGGGUGAGUAAUGUAUCGGAACGUGCCCAGUCGUGGGGGAUAACUGCUCGAAAGAGCAGCUAAUACCGCAUACGACCUGAGGGUGAAAGCGGGGGCUCGCAAGACCUCGCGCGAUUGGAGCGGCCGAUAUCAGAUUAGGUAGUUGGUGAGGUAAAGGCUCACCAAGCCGACGAUCUGUAGCUGGUCUGAGAGGACGACCAGCCACACUGGGACUGAGACACGGCCCAGACUCCUACGGGAGGCAGCAGUGGGGAAUUUUGGACAAUGGGCGCAAGCCUGAUCCAGCCAUGCCGCGUGCGGGAAGAAGGCCUUCGGGUUGUAAACCGCUUUUGUCAGGGAAGAAAAGGUUCUGGCUAAUACCUGGGACUCAUGACGGUACCUGAAGAAUAAGCACCGGCUAACUACGUG